rnacentral:rRNA from 1 species
GACGGGGGAUGCAAGCGUAAUCAGGAAACACUGGGCGUAAAGCGUCUGUAGGUGGUGAUGCAAGUCACUGGUGCAAAACUCUGGCACAAACGGAGGAAAGCCAGUGAAACUGCAUGACUAGAGUGUGGGAGAGGUAGAAGGAAUUCCCUGAGUAGCGGUGAAAUGCGUAGAUACAGGGAAGAACACCGGAGGCGAAAGCGUUCUACUGGAACACAACUGACACUGAGAGACGAAAGCUAGGGGAGCGAAUGGG